AGGGUGGGCUUCCCAGGGAGUUGGGGAGGGGGGUGUGAAUGCAUUAGCAUGUCCCAACCAAAGCAGGAGGAGAAAGGAAGAAGAUAAUCGAGGGUGCUAAAAAUAGUCAGUCUUCCCUAACUCCGCUCACGCCCAGGUCCAGACGUCUCAACUCCUCGGUGCUUUCUAGUAAGAGCAAAAAGCGAGGUGCUCAGGCUGCCCGCGGCUCAGGGACCCUCCACGGUUUGUCUUUCAGGAAAGUGGCUUAGCUGGGGAGCUUGGUCCGUCUUCUGGGCAGACAGGGACUACCUACCCUGGGCUCGACGCAUGGAGGGCACGGGCUCUUAGGGCCAUGUUGCGGAGAGAGGAAAUACUGCCUCUGACGACGGGGGGGGGCUGCAUUCCCCGUGGCUGGCCCCUGGGUUUGCAUUGGGCAUCAUUUCCCCAGCUGGAUGGAGGUAGCUGGAGAGUGGGUUCCCAGGGAGACCCUGGUGCCACUGGGAGCUUGGUGCAGAGUGGGCUCCAUCGAGGUCUUCACACGGAGCCGGAGCACAGGAGGGCUGGCCUGGGACCUUGCUCCCUGAUCCUCCUGAGAAAUGGAGGCCGGUGGGAGAGCUCGGGCCUGUCUCCCCUGGGAACCACAGCUUGAAGGGCCCCUGGAGGCCUGGCCCACCGCUCACGGGGACAUAGUGGGUCUUUUAGCCCCCAGCCCACGGCUCUGUCUGUCCUCCCACGGCUGGCUCAGGACUGGGCUGUGCAUCUCAGGUGGACACUCCAGCAGCAGGUGGUUGUCCUUGUCCUCCCUCUUUCAGCAAAAACCAGUCAUGGCUGAGAAUCCCAAGGGCCUGGCAGCCCCUGGAACUCCCCCUUCUAGGGGGAUCUGCACGGAGGUCAGAUCAACCAGUGCCUCAGCUGCCCGGCACCUGAAGCCGGGGGUGGGUAGAGGCAAGUGUGAGGGGAGACAGAGGCCCCCGCUCUGGCUGGAGGGACGGAAUACUCAGUCUGCAAUCGCCAGGGAAGGCUCAUGCCACGGGCACCUAGUGUUGCCGCUGCCACCCCGUCCUUGAACAGGCAGUAGGCUGAGACCCACGGAGGGAGUGACACGGCUAGGCCACCCAGCCAGCAACGGCCAACUCCCCGGAGCAGAGAUGGGGGCCACUCUCCACUGCACCUUUGCUAACCGGCAGCCGCGGGAGCCUGGCGUCCGCGCUCCAGAGCCCUGCCUCGCUCUGCUCUGCAGUCCUCGACCUGAACGUGACUGCUCACGGGGCCUGCAUCGCACGCACCUCCCUCCAGCCCCCACCCCCGGCAACCCCUACCCCCGAGACCCCUACCCCUGGAGACCCUACCCCCAGACCCUAACCCCAGAGACCCUACCCCCAGCAGCCACGCUUGCGUUCACUGGGCCUUAUCCUUGCUGUGAGUUGCGGAGCUCCCUGAUAGGCCCCGUGAAGACAGGGAUGCGAGGAAGGCUGGGCCAAGCCCCCAUCUGGGCCUGAAAAAAGCUGGGCAGGCCUCCCUGGGGAUCCCACCAUGGUCUCAGGACCUGUCGGGGCGGGCGGGGGCGCAGCUCAGACGUCAGUGCUGAUGCUGCGGCUCCGUGAGAAGGCCUCCCGCAUGGCCGAGAGGCGGUUGGGGUUGAGCGCCUGCAGGCCCCCAAAGCUCCCGGGCGGCAGCUCCACGUCGUCCUGGCUGAUGCUCUUGUAGGCCACACGCUCCCCGCCGUUGCGCACACCCUCGUCCUCGGGCUCCUGCAGGAAGAAGGUGGGCGGCUCGUAGUGGGAGCAGCUGCGGCAGAGGGAGCGGGCCUGCGGGGACUUCUGGCUGAAGGAGGUGGAGGCAGCUGGGUAGAGAGCCGGCCCCGGCCCGUUGGUCAGGACGAGGUUGCGGUUGGCGUGCAGUGGCGGCAGGUGCGCGUGCACUGCGAAGUCGGGCUCCUCCUCGUCCUCCUCGGACUCGUCCUUCUUGCAGCAGUAGUACUGUGGGCAGAGGGCGGGUGACCUCCGGCUCCCCACCCACCUCUCCCGACCCGCACGCAGGGAAAGGGGGUAUGUGCCCGGGUCAGACACCUGUGUCCCUUUAACCACCACUUAUGAGGGGCUCACCCAGGUCAGGCACCCACCCUGCUAAACACUCUGUAAGGAGGGAUCCGCUCAUUUCAUCCCCAUGGCAACGGGAGGCAGGUGUAAUUGUCAUCUCCAGUUUGCAGGUGAGGAACUGAGGCACAGAAAGUGGCAGAGCUGGGGUUCCAGCCCAGGCAGUGUGUCCCCAGACUAGUUUAUGGGCACUGGGCUGUGUGGCCCUGCCCUGCACGUGUGGUUUCCCUUCCUCUCUCAGGAAGACGUGGGGGCCCCGGUGGGCCCUACAGCAUGGGUGGGGAGGGGAGGGCACAGGUGGUGGACUAGCAUAGCCCAAGUGCUCCCCCCUGCUUGCCACUUGGCAGCUGUGUGCCAUUGGCUAAAUCCCUUACCCACUCUGAGCCUCAGUGGCCUCACCUCUCAGGGCGUUUGGGAAGCCCUGGGGGAGGUGAGCCAGGUGGCCGUCAUCACUGAGCCCUCAGGUGGAGUCUGGGCCAGGGUGUCUGCCAUGCACUUUCUUCCAGACCUGACUCUUCCCUCCUUCCUGGGCCCGGGCCCUGGGGGGGGCUGCCCUCCCGCCACAGGGCCACCCUCGGGGGCUCCCCUCCCCCAGCCCCCCGGGAGUACCUGGAGCCGGCAGUAGCACAGUACGGCGAUGAUGCACAGCAGAAUCACAGUCGCCAAGAUGCCCCCGGUGAUGACCACCGUCCCAGCUGUCAUCCGCCCCCUUCUCCAUCAACAGCCUGCAACACACGCCACUAGCUUUACUGCGUCAUCGCUUCCUCCUUGCAAAAGUAACCCAUUCUAGUUUAGAAUGUUGAGAAAACAGCGCGAAAGGGGAAAAUACCUACCCCAGGGGGCAUGCAUGCAAGAGGCAGGGGCUGGGCCUGGGGGUGGGCAGGACGACAUCCAAGCUGUCUGCCUCGCCCUCUCCCAGCCUCAGUUUCCCCAUCCGCAGAAGGUGAUGCUGAGAACAGGUCUCCACCCUCACACGAGGGCUGUGUGUAUGUUUCGUGAGCUUGUUCUUCAGCGCCCAGCGUAGCACGCUCAGUGAGUGGCGCCGGCCCUGUGAGGUCACGCACCCAUAAAUUCAGCUAGAUGCCCGAGCUGAGCACGUGGCUUCAUAACACGCUUCUCCACCUAACAUCAUGGUUAUUUUUCCAAAUUGUUAAAUUUUUUUCUGUGACUUAAUUUCUAACCACAUUCUGUUGAAUAACAUAACUGAUCCCUUUUCUGUAAAAUUUUUAAUUGCAGUACAAUACACAUAACAUAAAGUUUGCCAUCGGAAACAUUUCUAAGCGUCCAGCUCAGUAGCCUUAAGUACGUCCCCACUGUUGUGCAACCAAGCUCCAGGACUCUUUCAUCUUGCAAAACUGAAAACCAAUUCUUUCUCGAUAUUUAGGUUGUUUACAUUAAAAAAUAUUUUAAGUGGAUGCUUUAAUAAGUGUUUUUGCAGCUAAGUGAUCGGAGCCAGUGGAACAGGACGUACUUCAGUUACUUUUCCAGGAUAAAUUCUUAGAAGUGGGAUUUCUAGGCCUAAGGACAUGCCCUUUGUAAACUUUUUAUUAUGGAAAAUGUUCAACAAACAGAAGUCGAGAGAAUGACCAAUGCUGUCACCAGUUGCGCGCUUGUUGGCUUUUCCAUCUGUCCAGCCGGCGCUGACGAACCGGUUCUCAGAAUGAAAGCAUCCUGACUUGCAGCAUUUGCUGAUGUUUGUGGCGUCAACAGUCUCACGAUGCCCGUUUCAAGCUACCGAGGUUUACCGACGGGCUCGAAGAAUCCAUGGGCGGUGAACAGUCAGCUCUCCCAAACCAGCAGUCACGGGCUCCAGCACACCUGCCUCAAUGUCCCCCUCAUUUUAUUUUGCAGGGCAUGGUGUUGGGGGGGGGGGUUGGCGAUCAGAGUAUUUUAAAAGAAAUCCCAGAGCAUAUUAGUUAACCCAUAAACAGUUCAGUGUAAAAUCUGACAGAUGAGGACUUUAAAAAAAAAAAUCCCCAGGCUGUGUUUAGCUUUCUCCCAUCAUCCCCGAAAUGUCUUUUUACAGUUGGUUUGUUCCAAUGAGGAUCGAGUUGCGUUUGGCACUGUUGACUCUCAAACAGCUCAGUUCCCAUUCACUCUCCUCCCCGCUCCUGGCCCAUGUUGUUUAUAGACGAAACUGGGUCAUUUAUCUUACAGAAUUUUCCAUGUACGAGAGCUGGCUGGGUUUCCUCGGGCGGCACUGAACACGUUCCACCACCCCUGUUUUGUCAUCUAAACUGGAUUCCUGUUGCAUCCCUUUCAGGGGCCCAGGCUGCUGUCCCUCUUGUCGUGAUGGAUGUGUGUUCACACAGUGGUGGCCUUACCACGAUCCGGGGGUCAAGUUUUCAGACCUUUGACAUCAAAAAGUUCACUUAUUGGGCAUCUGCACAGGCCCAGCUGAUGGGCUGGUGGUGGUCUCAACCGGCCUGAACUGGACAAGGGGUCUCAGUUCCUGAAAAUCAUCUUAAGGACUCUGUUGAUCAGAG
ensembl:lncRNA